UACGUAGGUGGCAAGCGUUAUCCGGAAUACUGGGCGUAAAGCGCACGCAGGCGGUCUUGUAAGUUUGGCGUGAAAGCUCCCGGCUUAACUGGGAGAGGUCGCUGAAGACUGCAAGACUUGAGGAAAUGAGAGGGGUGUAGAAUUCCCGGUGUAGUGGUGGAAUGCGUAGAUAUCGGGGGGAAUACCAGUGGCGGAAAAGCGGCACCCUAGCAUUUUUCUGACGCUCAUGUGCGAAAGCGUGGGGAGCGAACGGG
rnacentral:rRNA from 1 species